CAGGGAAUCUUGCGCAAUGGACGGGAGUCCGACGCAGCGACGCCGCGUGGGUGAAGACGGCCUUCGGGUUGUAAAGCCCUUUUCUGGGGGAAGAGAGAGGACGGUACUCCAGGAAUAAGUGUCGGCUAACUACGUGCCAGCAGCCGCGGUAAUACGUAGGACACGAGCGUUAUCCGGAUUUACUGGGCGUAAAGCGCUUGUAGGCGGUUCUUCUAGUCGUUUGUGAAAGCCCUGGGCUCAACCUGGGGAGGCCAAGCGAGACUGGAGGACUUGAGGGUGACAGAGGGGGGUGGAAUUUCCGGUGUAGCGGUAGAAUGCGCAGAUAUCGGGAGGAACACCAGUGGCGAAGGCGGCUCCCUGGGUGACCCCUGACGCUGAGAGGCGAAAGCUAGGGG
rnacentral:rRNA from 1 species